UACGUAGGGGCCUAGCGUUGUCCGGAUUUAUUGGGCGUAAAGAGCUCGUAGGCGGUUCGGUAAGUCAGGUGUGAAAUCUCCACGCUCAACGUGGAGGCGCCACCUGAAACUGCCGUGACUCGAGUCCGGUAGGGGAGUGUGGAAUUCCCGGUGUGAGCGGUGAAAUGCGCAGAUAUCGGGAGGAACACCAAUGGCGAAGGCAGCACUCUGGGCCGGUACUGACGCUGAGGAGCGAAAGCGUGGGGAGCGAACAGG
rnacentral:rRNA from 1 species